AUCCAGUUGAUAAGUCCCAAAUAGGACGGAACUCGUGUCCUGGAU
rnacentral:hammerhead_ribozyme from 1 species